GGAGCCAUACCCAAGCGGUAAGGGAGCGGUCUGCAAAACCGUUAUGCAUCAGUUCGAUUCUGAUUGGCUCCU
rnacentral:tRNA from 1 species